AAAUUGUGAAAGGCGAUUGGGGCGAUUGGCAGCAAUACAAAAUCAGCUGCUUCUCGAUUUCUGAUUUCGCCGUCGGCGCCAAAGGUGGCAAGAAAAGCCCCACCAUUACAAAGAAAGGUNAUCACUAACAAUUUUUGUUAUUAAAAAUUAUUGAAAUGCAUGGUUGGUCCCUAAUCUAUUGAGAAAGUAGAAGUGGGUGCAGACCUUUCAAAAUAGGUGCAAAACCAGUCCUCACAGAUAUCUCCUUGCCUUUUCAAUUAUUACAUAAGCAUACAAAAACAAUUAGAACACAAGUAUGUUAAUUUUCAAAAUGUGACGGAGUAGAAAUGUUAUGAGAUUAUAUAAAAAUAAUAAUAAUAAUAAAGAAAAUGUUACUUAAUCAAGCUAUACAAAUAAAGGAAAAAAAUUUAAUUUUCUUAUUCAAAACUGAACAUAGAGAAAACUUUUGAUGGUCAACGGUCAAGUUCCGUCCUAUCUGGACUUCGGUGUUGGAUCCGCCACUAGGGAUAGUACUUCCCAAGCACUAAUAGCUUCUUCGCAAAUAGUACAAGAUUUAGCAAUGAAAUUAGUAUAAACAGGGAAUGAGCAACUCCUAAGUAUAUAAGAACAUAAGCAAGCAGUUCAGAUGUUGAUAGAAUACUUGCCAUCAUGUCUAAAUUCUCAGUUGCCACACGUUGGGUUAAAGCAAAGACUCUAGCUGGUCCUUUUUUGUUUGGUUCGUUGUCCCUCUUUGGUGGGGGUUCAUGGCAAUGGGUAGCAAUUUGACCAUGUUUUCCACAUUGAUAACAUACAUUCUUUCCGUGCAAACACUCACCUUUAUGGGCCUUAUUGCACUUAGGACAUGGAAUAAGAACAUUAUUUGGCUUGCCCGACCUUGACCACUUUUCAAAACUAAUCCUCUUAUUUUGUCCAUUUUCUUUACCUUCGUUCAGUCCAUUCUAUUUCCUCUUUCCUAAAAAUUAGUACUUUCCUAAGUUGUCUAAUCAAGUUCUAGUCGAUUUACAAUUGCUUGAACUCGUUGUAGAAUAUGAAUGUACGUGGUUAAUUCAUGAGAUGCCAAAAUUCCUCCAAUUUCUGGGCGCAAUCUGAGUUCGAACCUUCAAACUUUUUUUACUUUUUUUUUUUUUUUUGCUCUGUAUCCACUAGAUGUGUUGCAUACUUAGAAAGUUGUUCGAACUUCCUCUCAUAAUCAACCAAUGCCAUCUUUCCUUGCUUAAGCUGCAGAAACUUUGUCUCCUUACGAUCUCUCAAGGCUUGUGAAAAAUAUUAGCUGAAUUGAUGUAACUUUAUAAAUAUUAAAGAUUAGGGUACUAAAUAUCCGAAAAUUUUGGGUCCAAUUUGGUUCAGACCAUUUUAGCUCUAACUUUGAACAAAAAAUUGUUGAAGUUGUCCUACAUCGGUUGUGAAUAAGGUUGGUAUUCAAUUUAUAAGUAUGAAGGAAAGUCUCAUCUCUUGAGCUAGCUUUUAGGGUAAGAGAGGCUCAAUACCACCCUACAGUAGUAUCAGGGCCCAGUUUAUCAACAAGUCACCGGCCCAAUAGUCAUGGAGAUACGAGUUUCUGUAAGGAAGAGAUGAGUUUGGUCUUCCAUAGGUCCCGUUGUGUGGUGGGAGACGAAUUUGGUCUCCUACAGGGCCCGAUCUGUGAAGGGGAGAUUAUUGAAGUUGUCCCAUAUUGGUUGUGGAUGAGGUUAGUAUUUAAUUUAUAAGUGUGAGGAAAAGCCACAUCUCUUAAACUAGCUUUUGGGAUGAGAGAAGCUCAAUACCACCCAACAUAAUUUAUUUAGAUGCAUUUACUGACAAAGAGAUUAAUAUAUCAUGUACAAUUUUAAAUGUUCCAAUACUAAUUAAUGUCGUAGGAGGACAAUUUGUUAGCAUUAUAUUUCAUAUAGUUAUGGCAUUCCUGAAGCGUGAUAUUAUUCAAUUCUAAUACAAAAAAUCUUCAAAUGAAAAUUGAGCAAUUAGCAAAGAUAGUCUCAUUAAGAAAGCAUAUACUUUUGAUGAGUAUUUAGAUAUAACAAAUUAUAAAAUCUUAGAAAAGGUUCAAGCAUCUGAUGUGUUGAAAAUUGAGAUAUCUCAAUAAAUUAUAUCAUUAUAUAGAAAAAUAGAAUAAAAAAAAUGUUAACAAUACUUUUGUAGGUGAUGUACUACAUCAUAUUGUGAGUAUCAAGGAUAUCGAAAUAAAUUUGUCAUCAAGCGAAGUAAUAAUUGAUCAAAUAAAAUGAUGAGAUCAUAUUAAAUUGAAUUUACUAGAGAAACCUGAAAUUUCUACAAUCUGAACAUUAAAAUGUGUAUAUAAAUGAGAAAUAAAAAUGAAAAAGUAAAGUUGUAAUAUGAAAUGUACAACUCUUUACAUAAUAUAUGUCACGAAGAUUUAUAUAAAUCGAUAAGUUAUCAUGUAGUGGAUGUCAUCACAUAUCUUUACUUUGUUAGAGUGAUAAUGCAUGAAAUUUAAUAUGCAUAUAACAAAUGUGAUUAUAAUUAAUUUAUAUGACAUAUAAAUUUAAUACUAUCUUGAAGGAUUUAUUAUGCUUGAAGCAUAAUUUAAGUGAUAUUAUCAUGAGGGGAGUAAAUAUGCAAUGCAUUCUUUUUCACUUGGUCAGGGUUUUGUCCUAUUAGAUUUUAUUAGUAAGGUUUUUAAUGAGACAACUUUUAUAGCAAACUCAAAAGAAUAAUGUACUUUUUUCAUUCAUUAGGAUUUUUUUCACAAGGUUUUUUGAUGUGAUCCGCAUAAGGCAGUUUCGGGAUAGAAUUUUCAGAAAUUUCGCAAGUUUCCUAUUUUGAUUAGAAGUCUAAUCUUUGGCAAUAUUUAAGAUAUUU
rnacentral:lncRNA from 1 species